GAAAAAUAAAAUUAAUAAACUUUGCUUAUAAUGUCUUUCAUAAAAUCAAAAUAACUUUAUUUUAUUUUUCAAAAUCAAAAUUAAAAAUUUAAAAAAAUAAAAUAAUAAAAUUACAACAAUGUGUGAUUUUAACUGGAGUUGUUGUUAUCCAAAUGGAACUUGCUGUAGCCCAUGUCGGUACGCUGAAAGAUUUCAAAGAAAACGAAAAGCUGGAGAGAUGUUAAGCACUAUGGAUUAUCAUAGAAGAAAUGGUAUUCAAGACCAAACUCCAUGGCAAAUAUGUGUUAGAAUUCCGACAAGAUAUUUGCAUUUGUUCCCAGACUGUUACAGUAGACAACACUGCAGUUAUUAUUGUUGAAAACAAAAUUUUUUUUAAAUUUUAAUAAAAUGCAAAAAAAAAAUAUUUUGAUAAAAGUUUAAAUAAACAUUUUUGAAAGGAUUGUCUUAACUCACGACUGUGAAUACGGGCAGUUUUUAGAUUAA